rnacentral:rRNA from 1 species
CCUACGGGGGGCAGCAGUGGGGAAUAUUGGACAAUGGGCGAAAGCCUGAUCCAGCCAUGCCGCGUGUGUGAAGAAGGCCUUCGGGUUGUAAAGCACUUUCAGUGGGGAAGAAAGCCUUGGGGCUAAUACCCUCGAGGAAGGACAUCACCCACAGAAGAAGCACCGGCUAACUCCGUGCCAGCAGCCGCGGUAAUACGGAGGGUGCGAGCGUUAAUCGGAAUUACUGGGCGUAAAGCGCGCGUAGGCGGUCUGAUAAGCCGGUUGUGAAAGCCCCGGGCUCAACCUGGGAACGGCAUCCGGAACUGUCAGGCUAGAGUGCAGGAGAGGAAGGGAGAAUUCCCGGUGUAGCGGUGAAAUGCGUAGAGAUCGGGAGGAAUACCAGUGGCGAAGGCGGCCUUCUGGACUGACACUGACGCUGAGGUGCGAAAGCGUGGGUAGCAAACAGGAUUAGAUACCCUGUAGUC